ACACUGAGUUGAUUUAGUUUCCCUUAAUAAGCUCUUCUAUUUUUAGUAUAUUUUCAGUUCCGUAAUUAGUUAAGACUCUAUAGUUAAUAUUACUUGUUCCACUGAGUAUUUGCAGGUAUAAAUACUACGCUUGAGCUUGUAAAACAGUUAUGAAUUAAUACGAGAAACUUUUCUUCAAUCUCUUCUAGCCUUCUUUUCUUAUUCUCAAUCCUCUUAUUCUCCUAAUUCAUCUUGUUAUCUGGGUUCUAAACCUAUUUCAGUUACGUAAACCUUGUGUUUUGGUCUAGAACCCUAUCAAUCACCAUCACCAUCUCCACCACCAUCAUCUUACCACCAUCCAAAAUUCGUAUUGAGGAACAGAGUGAACUAAUUUUUUUUUUAUUUUUUUUUCUUUCUCUUCACCCUCCUCCACCUCCUUCAAUCUCACUGUUACAGAUUCAAUCACCACCACCACUCUUCAUCAGCAGAUUCAAUCAGAUUGGUUUGGUGGUUGAAUCUGGUUGGACUGUAAAUCAGAAGGGAAGAUGUCGUUGUUGCUAUGGAAUUGUGGUUAAGGAAGAAAUGGUAAAUUAGGGUUUGCUGCUGCCAUUAAUAACAAUGAUGAAUCGAAAUUGAAAUGAAGAGAAAUAUAUAAUGAUUUUGAGUAUGUUGCAGAGCGGGUUCGAGUUGGAAUCGAGGGUGGAUGUUAUUGAUUGCAGAUGGGUUUUGAUGGAUAUGAUUAUGGUUUGAGUCGAAUCUGAAGUUGGCAGUGAAUUGAAGCCAAGAAGACAAAAUGGAGAUGUUCAUGGGAAGUGGUUUUGAUGGGUGAUGUUUCUGGUCUAGAUUUAUAGCUAAUUCAACAGAGAAGAAUGAUGAAAUUGCAAUUUGAAACUAGGAUUUGAAGUUAGGGUUUCCUUGAACUGAGAUUUGAAACUGGAAAUGUUGCCGUUGAGAGGAAUUGCAAAUGAGUUUGUACUUGGUUUCAUGCUGAGUGAUAUUAGUACUUCAAUUGUGAUUCAUAAUUGGUUUUAUGUUGAAUGUGAAAUUAGUAUUUCAGUCUUUAACUAUAGUUGUGAUUUGUUUCGGCCUACUAGCAGAGUUCUGAUUCCUCUGGAGCAUCUGAUGUAAGGAGAUGGAAGAAAAAACAACUUAAAGUCAAUAGUCAAAAACCAUUCAAGCUUAGAACUGAGCAAAGAGGGAAACAUAAAGAAGAGGUAUUCGUAAAGAAAGUACAAGAAAUGCUUACAAAAGAGGAGAAGCAACGUAUACCCAUUGCGCAAGGCCGUCCAAGGCGAACCAAAGCAUUUGAUAAAGCCACCAGUAAAAUACAUCACGAGGCCCAUCGACUUGAAACUUCACAGUGAUGUGCGAGCAGUUGAGCGUGCUGAUUUUGAUACUCAGGUUGCGGAGAAGUUAAGCUUACUUGCACAGCAUAGAAUGAAAAAACAUAGGCAGCAGAAGUUGGGAGAAGAGGAAGAAGUCAAGAGGUUGAGGAAGGAGCUAGUUCCAAGAGCUCAACCAAUGCCAUAUUUUGAACGCCCUUUUAUUCCUAAAAGGUAUUUUUGAAUUAUGAUAUCCAUCUAUAUAUAAUUUCUUUUGUUGUUUAGUUUGGAGGAACGCAUCUCGUGUUUUAGGUCCGUGAAGUUCCUACUAUUCCAGAAGAACCAAAAUAUCAUGUUCCCCAUCACAAGAGAAUUGGGAGACAUGAGACGAGAAGAGGAAGAGGGAGAGAGAUGAAUGGUUGGCGAUAUAAAACAUUACUUAACCGAGAUAUUUUUCACCAUUGAUCGAUCGAUCAUUUGUUCUCUAUUUUUUGAACUUUUUACCAGUACAUUUUAAAGAUCAUUCACUGACAGUUUGUUUGUUUUUCUUUUUUUGUGUAUGUCAAAGCAAAAGCAAUAGCUUUAAUUGCAUUGUGUUUUUUUGA